rnacentral:rRNA from 1 species
AUUGAACGCUGGCGGUAUGCUUAACACAUGCAAGUCGAACGAUGAGAAAGAGCUUGCUCUUUCGAUUAGUGGCGGACGGGUGCGUAACGCGUAGGAAUCUACCUAUUAGUGGGGGACAACUUAGGGAAACUUAAGCUAAUACCGCAUACGCCCUACGGGGGAAAGAAGGGGAUCGCAAGACCUUUUGCUAAUAGAUGAGCCUGCGUAGGAUUAGCUAGUUGGUGGGGUAAAAGCUCACCAAGGCGACGAUCCUUAACUGGUUUGAGAGAAUGAUCAGUCACACUGGAACUGAGACACGGUCCAGACUCCUACGGGAGGCAGCAGUGGGGAAUAUUGGACAAUGGGCGAAAGCCUGAUCCAGCAAUACCGCGUGUGUGAAGAAGGCCUUAGGGUUGUAAAGCACUUUCAAUUGGAAGGAAAACCUCGAAGCUAAUACCUUCGAGUUUGGCAUUACCUUUAGAAGAAGCACCGGCUAACUACGUGCCAGCAGCCGCGGUAAAAC